UCACAUGUUUUUUGAUCGUAAAUUGGUA
rnacentral:sRNA from 1 species